rnacentral:rRNA from 1 species
GAGAUAACUCCUACGGGAGGCAACAGUGGGGAAUUUUGGACAAUGGGGGCAACCCUGAUCCAGCAAUGCCGCGUGAGUGAAGAGGGCCUUCGGGUUGUAAAGCUCUUUUGUCAGGGAAGAAACGGUAGUAGCUAAUAUCUAUUACUAAUGACGGUACCUGAAGAAUAAGCACCGGCUAACUACGUGCCAGCAGCCGCGGUAAUACGUAGGGUGCAAGCGUUAAUCGGAAUUACUGGGCGUAAGGCGUGCGCAGGCGGUUGUGUAAGUCAGAUGUGAAAUCCCCGGGCUCAACCUGGGAAUUGCAUUUGGUACUGCACGGCUAGAGUGUGUCAGAGGGGGGUAGAAUUCCACGUGUAGCAGUGAAAUGCGUAGAUAUGUGGAGGAAUACCGAUGGCGAAGGCAGCACCCUGGGAUAACACUGACGCUCAUGCACGAAAACGUGGGGAGCAAACAGGAUUAGAAACCCCAGUAGUCCUCCACU